GAUGAACGCUGGCGGCGUGCCUAAUACAUGCAAGUCGAGCGAACAGACGAGGAGCUUGCUCCUCUGACGUUAGCGGCGGACGGGUGAGUAACACGUGGAUAACCUACCUAUAAGACUGGGAUAACUUCGGGAAACCGGAGCUAAUACCGGAUAAUAUAUUGAACCGCAUGGUUCAAUAGUGAAAGACGGUUUUGCUGUCACUUAUAGAUGGAUCCGCGCCGCAUUAGCUAGUUGGUAAGGUAACGGCUUACCAAGGCGACGAUGCGUAGCCGACCUGAGAGGGUGAUCGGCCACACUGGAACUGAGACACGGUCCAGGCUCCUACGGGAGGCAGCAGUAGGGAAUCUUCCGCAACGGGCGAAAGCCUGACGGAGCAACGCCGCGUGAGUGAUGAAGGUCUUCGGAUCGUAAAACUCUGUUAUUAGGGAAGAACAAAUGUGUAAGUAACUAUGCACGUCUUGACGGUACCUAAUCAGAAAGCCACGGCUAACUACGUG
rnacentral:rRNA from 1 species